AACAGUUAUAAAAGUAAUUUAAAAAUACGGAAAAAUUCGGCAUGACCUAUGCUGUAAAACAAGAAAAUUUUGGCAUGACCAUUGUUGUAAAACAACAAAUGAGUCUACCCGAAUGUUAUACCUGCAUAAAAAAAACUCCCACCCACAUAUACCCCCUCGGCACGAUGGCCGGACCCUUCUCAACGACCCGGCACGAUGGCCGGGCUCACAUUCCUCAUAUCAACCGACAAGAUGGUCGGGAUCACAUGCAUGUAUCAUUAAACCAUAAACAGCAAUAACAUCAAUACUUAACCAUAAACAACAAUAUUUAAAUCCUAACUAAACAUAAACAGCAACCCUAAUUAAAAAAAACAGCAAGAUUCAACCCUAACUAACUAUAGAACUAAACAUAAACAACAAUAUUUAAACCCUAAUUAAACAUAAACAAUAAGAUUCAACCCUAAGUAAGAAAACAGCAAGAUUCAACCCUAAUUAACUAUAGAACUAAAGACAAACAACAAUAUUUAAACCCUAACUAAAUAUAAAAAACAAUAUUUACACCCUAAUUAAACAUAAACAACGAGAUUAAACUCUAAUUGGACCCUAAAAAAAGAUUCAACCCUAAUUGAACCUAAUUUAACCCUAAUUUAACCUAAUUUAACCCUAAUUGAACCUAAUUUAACCCUAAUUGAACCUAAUUCAACCCUAAUUGAACCCUAAUUUGACUCACCAGGACAGGGGCUUCGUCAAUCGGCGGAGG
rnacentral:lncRNA from 1 species